rnacentral:rRNA from 1 species
UAAACCACUUUCAGCUAGGACGAAGCGCAAGUGACGGUACUAGCAGAAGAAGCACCGGCCAACUACGUGCCAGCAGCCGCGGUGAUACGUAGGGUGCGAGCGUUGUCCGGAAUUAUUGGGCGUAAAGGGCUCGUAGGCGGUUCGUCACGUCGGAAGUGAAAACUCGGGGCUUAACCCCGAGCCUGCUUCCGAUACGGGCGAACUAGAGGUAUGCAGGGGAGAAUGGAAUUCCUGGUGGAGCGGUGGAAUGCGCAGAUAUCAGGAGGAACACCAGUGGCGAAGGCGGCUCUCUGGGCCUGUACUGACGCUGAGGAGCGAAAGCGUGGGGAGCGAACAGGAUUAGAUACCCUGGUAGUCCACGCCGUAAACGUUGGGCGCUAGGUGUGGGGGCCAUUCCACGGUCUCCGUGCCGCAGCUAACGCAUUAAGCGCCCCGCCUGGGGAGUACGGCCGCAAGGCUAAAACUCAAAGGAAUUGACGGGGGCCCGCACAAGCGGCGGAGCAUGUUGCUUAAUUCGAUGCAACGCGAAGAACCUUACCUAGGCUUGACAUGCACGGAAAUCUCGCAGAGAUGCGGGGUCCGUAAGGGCCGUGCACAGGUGGUGCAUGGUUGUCGUCAGC